rnacentral:lncRNA from 1 species
UCCUCGUCGUCGUCGUCGACGCCGAGGCCCUCCUCCUCCUCCUUGCCUGCGCCGCCGGCGCCCACGGCCGCGGCCAGGCCGCGGUCGUCCGUGCCGAUCUCACCCAUUGCGCUCGCGUGGGCCAGGCCGCGGUCGUCCGUGCCGAUCUCACCCAUUGCGCUCGCGUGGGCGGCGGAUUGGAUGAUGCCCAGCUGUGCUAGCUGCCCGCGCGAGCUAGAAAGAGGGGCGCCCUUGUGCGUUGCGGCUUGUGUGUUG